rnacentral:rRNA from 1 species
GAUGAACGCUGGCGGCGUGCCUAAUACAUGCAAGUCGAGCGACCAGAUGAGGCGUUUGCUCCUCCGAAGCUAGCGACGGACGGGUAAGUAACACGUGGACAACCUCCAUAUCCGACUGAACUAGCUUCGAGAAACCGUAACUCCGACCGUGUAAUCUAUUCAUCCGCUUGGUUCGAUAAGGAAGGACGGGUUUCCGUUCACGUAUGGAUGCGUCCGCGCCGCAUUAGCUAGUUGGUGAGGUAACGGCUAACCAAGGCAGCGAUGCGUAGCCGGCCUGAGAGGACGAUCAGCCACACUGGAACUGAGACACGGCCCAGACUCCUACGGGAGGCAGCAGUGGGGAAUCUUGCGCAAUGGGCGAAAGCGUGACGGAGCAACGCCGCGUGAGUGAAGAAGGUCUUCGGAUCGUAAACCUCUGUCAUGAGGGAAGAAGAAAUGGCUAAGUAAAUACGCACGUCUUGACGGUACCUAAACAGAAAGCCACGGCUAACUACGUG